UGGGACGUCACAGUAAGGUCCUGCCUUUCC
rnacentral:piRNA from 1 species